rnacentral:rRNA from 1 species
AUGGCGAUGGACGCGGAGCGGCGGCAGGCGGAGCUGAUCGAGCAGUUUUCGGCGCAGGCGGCGGCGCUCUCCUCGGCUCCUCAGCUGGCGGCGCUCGUGCUCGAGGCCACCUCCCACCCGGCGCUCUUUGCCUUCUCCGAGCUCCUCACCCUUCCAGCCCUCUCCAAGCUAACGGGCACGCAGUACGCCUCGUCGCUGGACCUGCUCCGCCUCUUCGCCUACGGCACCCUCAAGGACUACAAGAGUAAUUCUAGCGCCCUCCCUGCAUUGUUGCCUGAUCAAGCCCGGAAGCUGAAGCAACUCAGUGUGCUAACUUUGGCUGAGUCAACCAAGGUACUUCCAUAUGAUCAGCUCAUGCAAGAGCUAGACGUUUCCAAUGUGAGAGAACUUGAAGAUUUCCUCAUCAAUGAGUGCAUGUACUCAGGUAUUGUCAGAGGCAAGUUGGACCAACUGCGGCGGUGCUUUGAAGUACAAUUUGCAGCUGGAAGGGACCUCACACAUGAUCAGCUAACCAACAUGAUUGAGACCUUGUCUGACUGGUUGGGAACAUCAGAUAAUUUAUUACACCAAAUUCAGGAGAAAAUCAAGUGGGCGGAUACAACAAGUGAAUCGAACAAGAAGCACCAGAAAGAAUUUGAAGACAGAGUGGAAGAAGCCAAGAAGUCAGUCAAGCAGGCAGACAAUGACUUACGGGGGCAUGACGACUUUCUCUCUGAAUCUGGAGGAAUAAUGGAUUUUGAGGAGGACCGCAUCCGACCAAAAAGGAGGCGACAACCAAUGGCAUAG